CUGCUACAACGGCUUCCUGACGUGGCAGAUUUAAUGACUGGAGCA
rnacentral:ncRNA from 1 species